rnacentral:rRNA from 1 species
GACGAACGCUGGCGGCGUGCUUAACACAUGCAAGUCGAACGGAAAGUCCCUGCUUUUGUGGGGUGCUCGAUUGGCGAACGGGUGAGUAACACGUGAGUAACCUGCCCUUUACUUUGGGAUAACUUCAGGAAACUGUGGCUAAUACCGGAUAUGAGCUCCUGCUGCAUGGUGGGGGUUGGAAAGUUUCGGCUGUUGGGGAUGGACUCGCGGCUUAUCAGCUUGUUGGUGGGGUUGUGGCUUACCAAGGCUUUGACGGGUAGCCGGCCUGAGAGGGUUACCGGCGACAGUGGGACUGAGAUACGGCGCAGACUACAACGGGAGGCAGCAGUGGGGAAUAUUGCAAAAUGGGCGGAAGCCUGAUGCAGAAACGCGGCGUGCGGGAUGACGGCCUUCGGGUAGUAAAAAGAUUUAGAAUGAGACGAAGAGAGAGUGACGGUAAUGGGUAAAGAAGCACCGGCUAACUACGUG